rnacentral:rRNA from 1 species
CCUACGUGAGGCAGCAGUGGGGAAUAUUGCACAAUGGGGGAAACCCUGAUGCAGCGACGCCGCGUGAGUGAAGAAGUCAUUCGUUAUGUAAAGCUCUUUCAGCAGGGAAGUAAAUGACGGUACCUGACUAAGAAGCCCCGGCUAACUACGUGCAAGCAGCCGCGGUACUACGGAGGGGGCCAGCGUUAUACGGAUUUACUGGGUGUAAAGGGAGCGUAGACGGCAUUGCAAGUCCGGAGUGAAAGCCCAAGGCUUAACCAGGGGACUGCUGUGGAAACUGUGGAGCUUGAGUGCGGGAGGGGCAGGCGGAAUUCCUGGUGUAGCGGUGAAAUGCGUAGAUAUUAGGAGGAACACCGGCGGCGAAGGCGGCCUGCUGGACCGUAACUGACGUUGAGGCUCGAAAGCGUGGGGAGCAAACAGGAUUAGAUACCCUAGUAGUC